CGAACCGAGCGAACGUUGUUCGGAAUCACUGGGCUUAAAGGGCGCGUAGGCGGGUGUUCAAGUCCGUGGUGAAAUCCUCCGGCUCAACCGGAGAACUGCCUCGGAUACUGAAUGUCUCGAGGGUGGUAGGGGUAUGCGGAACUAUCGGUGGAGCGGUGAAAUGCGUUGAUAUCGAUAGGAACUCCGGUGGCGAAGGCGGCAUACUGGACCACUUCUGACGCUGAGGCGCGAAAGCCAGGGGAGCAAACGGG
rnacentral:rRNA from 1 species